rnacentral:rRNA from 1 species
AAUCUGGGACAAGGGGCGCAAGCCUGACCCAGCCAUGCCGCGUGAGUUAAGUAGGCCUUAGGGUUAUAAAGCUCUUUCGGACGGAACGAAAUCGCGCAGGCUAAUACCCUGCGCGGAUGACGGUACCUUCAUUAGAAGCACGUGCUAACUACUUGCCAGCAGCCGCGGUAAUACGUAGGGUGCGAGUGUUAAUCGGAAUUACGGGGCGUAAAGCGUGCGCAGGCGGUUGAUUAAGACAGGCGUGAAAUCCCCGGGCUUAACCUGGGAACUGCGCUUGUGACUGGUCAGCUAGAGUACGGCAGAGGGGGGUGGAAUUCCACGUGUAGCAGUGAAAUGCGUAGAGAUGUGGAGGAACACCGAUGGCGAAGGCAGCCCCCUGGGCCGAUACUGACGCUCAUGCACGAAAGCGUGGGUAGCAAACAGG